GCCAGGCAUGGUGGCACGUGCCUGUAGUCCCAGCUACUUGGGAGGCUGAGGCAGGAGAAUUGCUUGAACCCAGGAGUCACAGGUUGCAGUGAGCUGAGAUCACCCCACUGCACUCCAGCCUGGGUGACAGAGCAAGACCCUGUCUCAA
rfam:Homo sapiens chromosome 2, GRCh38 reference primary assembly.